CUGAGUACGGCGGAACACGUGAAAUUCCGUCGGAAUCCGGGAGGACCAUCUCCCAAGGCUAAAUACUCCCUAGUGACCGAUAGUGAACCAGUACCGUGAGGGAAAGGUGAAAAGCACCCCGGAAGGGGAGUGAAACAGUUCCUGAAACCGUGUGCCUACAAGUAGUUAGAGCCCGUUAAUGGGUGAUAGCGUGCCUUUUGUAGAAUGAACCGGCGAGUUACGAUUUGUUGCAAGGUUAAGCGGAAAAAGCGGAGCCGUAGCGAAAGCGAGUCUGAAUAGGGCGCAUAAGUAACAGGUCGUAGACCCGAAACCAGGUGAUCUACCCAUGUCCAGGAUGAAGGUAAGGUAAUACUUACUGGAGGUCCGAACCCACGCACGUUGAAAAGUGCGGGGAUGAGGUGUGGGUAGCGGAGAAAUUCCAAUCGAACUUGGAGAUAGCUGGUUCUCUCCGAAAUAGCUUUAGGGCUAGCCUCGAGGUAAAGAGUCAUGGAGGUAGAGCACUGUUUGGACUAGGGGCCCUUCUCGGGUUACCGAAUUCAGAUAAACUCCGAAUGCCAUGUACUUAUACUCGGGAGUCAGACUGCGAGUGAUAAGAUCCGUAGUCGAAAGGGAAACAGCCCAGACCACCAGUUAAGGUCCCCAAAUAUAUGUUAAGUGGAAAAGGAUGUGGGGUUGCUUAGACAACCAGGAUGUUGGCUUAGAAGCAGCCACCAUUGAAAGAGUGCGUAAUAGCUCACUGGUCGAGUGACCCCGCGCCGAAAAUGUACCGGGGCUAAACAUAUUACCGAAACUGUGGAUGAACCUCUUUAGAGGUUCGUGGUAGGAGAGCGUUCUAAGGGCGGUGAAGUCAGACCGGAAGGACUGGUGGAGCGCUUAGAAGUGAGAAUGCCGGUAUGAGUAGCGAAAGAAGGGUGAGAAUCCCUUCCACCGAAUAUCUAAGGUUUCCUGAGGAAGGCUCGUCCGCUCAGGGUUAGUCGGGACCUAAGCCGAGGCCGAUAGGCGUAGGCGAUGGACAACAGGUAGAGAUUCCUGUACCAGUGCUAAUUGUUUAACCGAUGGGGUGACACAGAAGGAUAGGGAAUCGCACGAAUGGAAAUGUGCGUCCAAGCAGUGAGUGUGAGAAGUAGGCAAAUCCGCUUCUCGCGAAGCAUGAGCUGUGAUGGGGAAGGAAAUUAAG
rnacentral:rRNA from 1 species